UUCACACACUUCUUCCUGAAACUAAUGUGUACAUUCCUUGUUUCAGAAAACAAGGGGGUGGAAGAAUUGAAAUACUUUGUACAGAAAGAAAUUGAAAAUUAUUGAAGACUGAAAUAUAGUUUCAAGUAUAUGGAACCAGCUGGGAGUCAGGAUGGAACUGAAGCUGCUGCAGGCAGUAGUCCUACCUUUCAUCCAAGCCAAGGAAACUGUGACAGAUACCAUGCAUACCAGAGAGGCUCAGGAUUGUCACAGCAGUCUAGAUGGUGGCGGCAGAACCAGAGUCAGACACAGACUUAAUGCC